rnacentral:lncRNA from 8 species
UCUGGUGCAGCUCAGAUGCUAUGGAUUCCCCCCCGGAAACCUUCUGAAUGAGGGCCUUGAACAACAGUCUCAUCUGGUCCUGGCUGGUCCCGGCAGCACUGAUCUGAGAGUUCAUCUCAUCAGGGAUCAAGUCCUUCUGGUGCAGCUCAGAUGCUAUGGAUUCCCCCCCGGAAACCUUCUGAAUGAGGUGAUCCUUGUGUUUGUUCACAAACCGGGCAUCACCUAGUCAGGUUAGAUGUAGAGUUAUAUACUGUAGAACAAGAGGACAUUACUAGUCAGGUUAGAUGUAGAGUUAUAUACUGUAGAACAAGAGGACAUUACUAGUCAGGUUAGAUGUAGAGUUAUAUACUGUAGAACAAGACAAAACUAUGAGGUCUGUGAUUAACAGUUGACCCAUCAGUAUUAUAGUAAUAAACCAUGAGGUCUGUGAUUAACAGUUGACCCAUCAGUAUUAUAGUAAUAAACCAUGAGGUCUGUGAUUAACAGUUGACCCAUCAGUAUUAUAGUAAUAAACCAUGAGGUCUGUGAUUAACAGUUGACCCAUCAGUAUUAUAGUAAUAAACCAAGAGGUCUGUGAUUAACAGUUGACCCAUCAGUAUUAUAGUAAUAAACCAUGAGGUCUGUGAUUAACAGUUGACCCAUCAGUAUUAUAGUAAUAAACCAUGAGGUCUGUGAUUAACAGUUGACCCAUCAGUAUUAUAGUAAUAAACCAUGAGGUCUGUGAUUAACAGUUGACCCAUCAGUAUUAUAGUAAUAAACCAUGAGGUCUGUGAUUAACAGUUGACCCAUCAGUAUUAUAGUAAUAAACCAUGAGGUCUGUGAUUAACAGUUGACCCAUCAGUAUUAUAGUAAUAAACCAUGAGGUCUGUGAUUAACAGUUGACCCAUCAGUAUUAUAGUAAUAAACCAUGAGGUCUGUGAUUAACAGUUGACCCAUCAGUAUUAUAGUAAUAAACCAUGAGGUCUGUGAUUAACAGUUGACCCAUCAGUAUUAUAGUAAUAAUCAUAAUCUCUUUAUGUGAAACUCUAACAAGACAACAGCCCACUUACGUAGUUCUUCCAAUCGUUGUCUUUGCUCCUCUGUAGACAAAAGACAACAAAUGUGUAAAAGCACAAUAGUAAAAAGUACAAUAAUAAUUAAUAAUCAUUAAAAGCCUGGAUGUCUGUUCCACUCGGUAAUCUAAUUAGCAUAAUGCUAAACUAAACUCUGACUUUAGUGUCUGGGGGUCUAAAAAGGUAUUUCACCCGUUUUGCUCUACAAGCUUCACACUGGUACCUAUAUAUAGUUAUAUCCUGAUCUAAUACAGGACUGAAGGUAACCUGGUAUAAAGAAUAGAGU